GUGAUCUGCUUGCCUCAGUCUCCCAAAGUGCUGGGAUUACAGGCAUGAGCCACUAUGCCUGGCCAUGCGUUCUUAAUACGCUUUCAAAGAUUUCUACUGUCAUUGUUCUUGAUUCCGACAGGCUUGCCCCUAACCUUGGAGAGCAGUGGUGGGGGAUCGUUCUUGAGUGGUCAUCGAUGCUAUUCGAGGGUACACUUAACAGACAUUUUAUGGCUGGGCUCGUGUCUGUGAUCCCAGCACUUUGGGAGGCUGAAGUGGGAGGAUCACUUGAGCUCAAGAGUUUGAGACCAGAUCCAGGAGGAGUGGUUCCAACAUGGCCGAAAAGGAACAGCUCCAGUCUGCAGCUCCCAGCGUGAGUGAUGCAGAAGAUGGAUGAUUUCUUCAUUUCCAACUGAGGUACUGGGUUCAUCUCACUGCGGCUUGUCAGACAGUGGGUGCAGCCCAUGGAGCAGGACGGGUCAUCACCUCACCCACUUUGAAGAGAAUAGCGGUUCUCCCGGCAUGGAGUUUGAAAUCUGAGAAUGGACAGACUGCUUCCUCAAGUGGGUCCCUGACCACCGAGUAGCCUAACUGAGAGGCAGCUCCCAGUAGGGGCCGACUGACACCUCAUACAGCUGGGUGCCCCUCGGAGAUGAAGCAUCCAGAGGAAGGAUCAGGCAGCAACGUCUGCCAUCCUGCAAUAUUUGCUAUUCUGCAGCCUCCGCUGGUGAUACCCGGGCAAACAGGGUCUGGAGUGGACCUCCAGCAAACUCCAACAGACCUGCAGCUGAGGGUCCUGACUGUUAGAAGGAAAACUAACAAACAGAAAGGAAUCCACACCAAAACCCCAUCUGUACGUCACCAUCAUCAAAGACCAAAGGUAGAUAAAACCACAAAGAUGGGGAGAAACCAGAGCAGAAAAGCUGAAAAUUCUAAAAAUCAGAGCACCUCUUCUCCUCCAAAGGAAUGCAGCUCCUCGCCAGCAACGGAACAAAGCUGGACAGAGAAUGACUUUGACGAGUUGAGAGAAGAGGGCUUCAGACGAUCGGUAAUAACAAACUUCUCCAAGCUAAAGGAGGAUGUUCAAACCCAUUGCAAAGAAGCUAAAAAUCUUUUUUUUUUUUUUUUUUUGAGACAGAGUUUCGCUUUUGUUGCCCAGGCUGGAGUGCAAUGGCUCGGUCUUGGCUCACCGCAACCUCUGCCUCCUGGCUUCAAGUGAGUCUCCUGCCUCAGCCUCCCAAGUAGCUGGGAUUACAGGCAUGUGCCACCACACCCAGCUAAUUUUUUUGUAUUUUUAUUAGAGACGGGGUUUCUCCAUGUUGGUCAGGCUGGUCUCGAACUCCUGACCUCAGGUGAUCCACCCGCCUCGGCCUCCCAAAGUGCUGGGAUUACAGGCAUGAGCCACCACGCCCAGCAGAAGCUAAAAGUCUUAAAAAAAGAUUAGACAAAUGGCUAACUAGAAUAAAUAGUGUAGAGAAGACCUUAAAUGACUUGAUGGAGCUGAAAACCAUGGCACGAGAACUAUGUGACGCAUGCACAAGCUUCAGUAGCCGAUUUGAUCAACUGGAAGAAAGGAUAUCAGUAAUUGAAGAUUAAGUGAAUGAAAUGAAGCAAGAAGAGAAGUUUAGGGAAAAAAGAGUAAAAAGAAACGAACAAAGCCUCCAAGAAAUAUGGGACUAUGUGAAAAGACCAAAUCUACGUCUGAUUGGUGUACCUGAAAGUGAUGGGGAGAAUGGAACCAAGUUGGGAAACACUCUUCAGGAUAUUAUCCAGGAGAACUUCCCCAACCUAGCGAGGCAGGCCAACAUUCAAAUUCAGGAAAUACAGAGAACGGCACAAAGAUACUCCUCAAGAAGAACAACCCCAAGACACAUAAUUGUCAGAUUCACCAAAGUUGAAAUGAAGGAAAAAAUAUUAAGGGAAGCCAGAGAGAAAGGUCGGGUUACCCACAAAGGGAAGCCCAUUAGACUAACAGCAGAUCUCUCAGCAGAAACUCUACAAGCCAGAAGAAAGUGGGGGCCAAUAUCCAACAUUCUUAAAGAAAAGAAUUUUCAACCCAGAAUUUCAUAUCCAGCCAAACUAAGCUUCAUAAGUGAAGGAGAAAUAAAAUCCUCUACAGACAAACAAAUGCUGAGAGAUUUUGUCACCACCAGGCCUGCCUUACAAGAGCUCCUGAAGGAAGCACUAAACAUGGAAAGGAACAACCAGUACCAGCCACUGCAAAAACAUGCCAAAUUGUAAAGACCAUCAAUGCUAGGAAGAAACUGCAUCAACUAACGAGCAAAAUAACCAGCUAACAUCAUAAUGACAGGAUCAAAUUCACACAUAACAAUAUUAACCUUAAAUGUAAAUGGCCUAAAUGCCCCAAUUAAAAGACACAGACUGGCAAAUUGGAUAAAGAGUCAAGACCCAUCAGUGUGCUGUAUUCAGGAGACCCAUCUCACGUGCAGAGACACACAUAGGCUCAAAAUAAAAGGAUGGAGGAAGAUCUACCAAGCAAAUGGAAAACAAAACAAAAAAAAAGCAGGGGUUGCAAUCCUAGUCUCUGAUAAAACAGACUUUAAACCAAAAAAGAUCAAAAGAGACAAAGAAGGCCAUUACAUAAUGGUAAAGGGAUCAAUUCAACAAGAAGAGUUUGAGACCAGCCUGGGCAACAUAGUGAGACCUCUUCUUUAUUUAAGAUAAAAAAUAAAAAUAUAAUAAUAACAAAAUAGACACUUUAUGUGCACUGGAGUCUUGUGUAUAGUGACUCUAUCACCUGAAUAAUUACUUUUUAAAAUUAUAAUGUUGUAUUUAUUUAUUUGUAUUCUGCUUUGUAGGUUGUCCUUUGGAAUUUUCCACAUUUUGAAUUUAUGUUUGUGUUUAUUGGAAAAUUGGUUCAAGUGAAUGUGGAAUCAUUUUACUGUCAGGGUAUAUUUGUUUUUCUUAACUGCAUAUUGUCAGACUAAUAUUUUUUGGAUGAGUUUGAAAUCUUUUAAUAUCCAGAUGAUCUCAUUUGAUGUUUUGAAAAAGUAACCAUUGUUCAUUUUUAAACAGAAUUUCCUGUUCAGGAAAUAAUUUAGAUUAACAAUAAAACAGAUGAAUGCAUUGAAUGGUAGAGGCACAGUUGGCAUUGUGAUUUCAUGAGAUUUUGUACUAUUAAUAAAAUAAGUUUUCCUAAUGUGGCACUUAACUUUUCCAGAAUUUACCCCUUGAUUGCCAGCUAACUUUGCUUGUCCCCUAGUUAGAGCCACCUUUGAAGGGGAAGACAGGACAGUCAGGACAGGGGGAGGGAUGUGGGCCUUGAACUCUGGCAGCUGCUCAGGCUACCUUGAAAGCCUUACAGAGUCUAAUCAUAAACAUUGGGUAGAAAUGUUUUUGGACAACAGAAAGCAAGUCUAAGAAAUCAAUUAUUUGGGCUGGGCGCAGUGCCUUAUGCCUGUAAUCCCAGCACUUUGGGAGGCCAAGGCGGGCGGAUCAUGAGGUCAGGAGAUUGAGAUCAUCGUGGCCAACAUGAGGAAACCCGUCUCUACUAAAAUACGAAAAUUAGCCUGGCGUGGUGGUGCGUGCCUGUAGUCCCAGUUACUUGGGAGGCUGAGGCAGGGGAAUUGCUUGAACCCAGGAGGCGGAGGUUGCAGUGAGCCAAGAUUGUGCCACUGCACUCCAGCCUGGUGACAGAGCAAGACUCCGUUUCAAAAAAGAAAAAAAAAAAAAAGAAAUUAAUUAUUUAUAAACAAGAAACUUCAUCUGAACUCCCAGAUUAGAACAGUAAAACCCAAGAGGUUGGAGGGAGAUGGGUGAGAUUAAGUGCAAAAAGAUUAUUCUAUUUUUGCUGUGGAUAAUUAGGAAAAUACAGGUUAACCUCUUAGCCUGUAACCUCUUGGUCUGUUAACCUCUUUGCCUGUACAGAUAGUACCUUUAAAGGUAACUAUCUGUAUCAGUAAGGAUUAAGUUUGGCUGUAUAGAACAGUGGCUUCACAUUAUAGAAUUUAUUUUUCUCUAAAGUAUAAGAAGUUCAGAGGGAGACUGUGCAGUACUGGUGCAGCCCUGCUGUCCCCAGGGUUCCAUGCUCUUCCUGUCCUUCAGUUCUACCAUACUAGAUGUCGUUUCCAUCCUUAAGGUCAUGUCACAUCUAAGAAGGCUGCGGAAGCUCCAGCCAUCAUGUCUGAAUUCCAGGAUGUAGGGAAGGCAGCCUUUGAGAAAGGCUCUCACACCAGUGCUUUUAUCUCAUUGGCCAACACUUAGCCUUGUAGUCUCAUUUUGCAGCAGGGGAGGCUAAGAAAUGUAGUUUUUCCAUGGGGCUCAGAGCUUUGAUACUAAGAAGAGUAUGGAUAGCGGAUGGCCACCAUGUGUCUACCAUGUCUCCUUGACUAUAAUUAAAAAUAUGAUGCAGGCUGGGGGCAGUGGCUCAAGCCUGUAAUCCCAGCACUUUGGGAGGCCAAGUGAAGUGAAUCCCUUGAGCUAGGAGUUCAAGACCAGCCUGGGCAACAUGGGGAAACCCCAUCUUUACUAAAAAUACAAAAAAUUAGCCAAGUGUGGUGCUGCCUGCCUGUAGUCCUAGCUACUUGGGAAGCUGAGGUGGGAAAAUCAUCUGAGCCCAGGAAGUUGAGGCUGCAGUGAGCUGUGAUCGUACCACUGCACUCCAGCGUGGGUGACAGGAGUGAGACCCUGCCUUUAAAAAAAAAAAAAAAAAAAAAAGAUUCAAACAUUCAACAUUAGCAUUCCCUAACCUAACCCACAUCAUGACCCUGACAAGAAAACAAUGGUAUUUGCAUAGCAUGAUGGGUAAAUGAUGGAAGUAGUUCUUAGCUGAUGGUCACCCCGGACACUACCUGGCACCCUCCAUUCCCAGCACUGCUUGUGGAAGCUCUGUUCUAAAUCACUAGGAGAAAAAAGAAUCUGGUGGCACAUACUCUACAAUGCAAAAGACAGCAAAGUGAUGAAACCUCCAGAAGUUGAACCACCAAGAGGCAUGACAAUAGUAAGAUGAGUCUUGCCCAAUUUGACCAUAAUGCUCCUGUUUGAAGGCAAAGUCUCAGAAUGGGUCAAAAAGUGAAGCUUUAUCUAUGUGCUUUGCUUAAGAAAUUCUCAAAGUAUGCAAAAGACUGGAAGUUGGGCUAGGAGAAAAUUUAGAGAAAGAAGAGUUAUAAGGAGGGAUUAUUUAAUCAGUGAGGUCAGGAUCUUUGGGGCCAGGGGCAGGCGUGAGUGGUGGUUAGGAUUUUGACCUCCGAGUUCAGGCUCUGUUAGAAAACCGGUUCACUAUUUACAGGCUAUGUGAUGUGGGUCUAGGUAUUCAACUUCUCUGUGCUGUAGUGUAUUCAUUCUUAUGUCAAACGGGGAUAAAUGUUAGGACUCUUAGGAGGAUUAAAUGAGUUAAUGGAUGUAAAUGCUUAUAAGUGCUUAUGGUACCACUCCAUAAGUGUUUACCAUUAUUACUGAUGUGUUUGUUAUCAUUAUAAGAAAGUGCAACUGGAUCCCUGCAUAACUCCAUCAAACCCAAUAAAAUCCAGAUGGUUCAAAAGGUGA